ACCUGCAAUCAACUCUAUCGUUGUCAUUCAAUGAUGAUGCGUAAUAAUGUGGUUGCGGGUCUGAAGAGUGGGGGAGUCAGCAAAACGGCGAUUUAUUUUCAACUUUAGUCUUCCUGAAGCUCUUGUGUGAGAGUAUUUGAUUUAUUGAGAGCUUUCGGUAUUGACGCAAUGGUGUGGUAAAGUGUCUACGGUUUCUACUGCUCAUGUCUAGGCGAGUGAAAUUAUUCUGGGAUGAAUUACGAUUCUGGAGCAACUGUCUUCAGUAGAAGGGACGAACAUUUCGACGGAGACGACUGACACAUGACAGGCUUUCAUUGUCAAGGGUUUUUGGGCGAGGGUUGUCAUCACAAAUGAUGU